AAUGAACGCUGGCGGCGUGCCUAACACAUGCAAGUCGAGCGCGAACGUGGUCUUCGGACCAUUAUUAGAGCGGCGGACGGGUGAGUAACACGUGGAUAAUCUGCCUAAGAGUGGGGGACAACUUCGGGAAACUGGAGCUAAUACCGCAUACGUUCCUCCCCUUGCGAGGGGAUGAAGAAAGGCUUCGGCCGCUUUUAGAGGAGUCCGCGUCUGAUUAGCUAGUUGGUGGGGUAACGGCCUACCAAGGCGACGAUCAGUAGCCGGCCUGAGAGGGUGAUCGGCCACACUGGAACUGAGACACGGUCCAGACUCCUACGGGAGGCAGCAGUGAGGAAUAUUGGACAAUGGGCGAAAGCCUGAUCCAGCAACGCCGCGUGGAGGAUGAAGGUCUUCGGAUUGUAAACUCCUGUCAGGUGGGACGAAAACAAUGACGGUACCACCAGAGGAAGCCCCGGCUAACUCCG
rnacentral:rRNA from 1 species